rnacentral:rRNA from 1 species
GACGAACGCUGGCGGCGUGCUUAACACAUGCAAGUCGAACGGAAAGGCCCUGCUUUUGUGGGGUGCUCGAGUGGCGAACGGGUGAGUAACACGUGAGUAACCUGCCCUUGACUUUGGGAUAACUUCAGGAAACUGGGGCUAAUACCGGAUAGGAGCUCCUGCUGCAUGGUGGGGGUUGGAAAGUUUCGGCGGUUGGGGAUGGACUCGCGGCUUAUCAGCUUGUUGGUGGGGUAGUGGCUUACCAAGGCUUUGACGGGUAGCCGGCCUGAGAGGGUGAACGGCCACAUUGGGACUGAGAUGCGGCCCAGACUCCUACGGGAGGCAGCAGUGGGGAAUAUUGCACAAUGGGCGGAAGCCUGAUGCAGCAACGCCGCGUGCGGGAUGACGGCCUUCGGGUUGUAAACCGCUUUCGCCUGUGACGAAGCGUGAGUGACGGUAAUGGGUAAAGAAGCACCGGCUAACUACGUG